rnacentral:rRNA from 1 species
GACGAACGCUGGCGGCGUGCCUAAUACAAGCAAGUAGAACGCAGUGGCGAAAGGGUGAGUAACGCGUAUGUAACGGCCUCAUAGCGGGGGAUAACUAUUGGAAACGAUAGCUAAUACCGCACACUGUGAGCUGGACCUGCGUUGUAUGAGCUAGUUGGUGAGGUAACGGCCCACCAAGGCGACGAUACAUAGCCGACCUGAGAGGUGGAUCCACCACACUGGAAUGGAGACAGGGCCCGUAUUCAUCCGGGCGGCAGCAGUAGGGAAAAUUCGGCAAUGUACGGAAGUCUGACCGAACAACGCCGCGUGAUGCAAUGAGGUUUUCGGAACGUGCCGCUCUGUUGUUGGAGGAGCGGUAACUAACCAGACAGGGACGGCUAACCAAGUGCCAGCAACCGCGGUAAUUC